CUAACUUUAGUGCACAAUUAUAUCGUGCUGUGUCUUGUAUACGGCGUGUAACGUGUUGGCUGGCAAAUAUGAUGGAGCCAGCUACGAUCGUCGAGAAGCCGGUUAGUUAUUAAGUUCUUGCUUAAUACCGUACGUGCGGUGAAUUUGUCGCUUUUUUCUCGUCGAUCGUGGUAUAGCAUAGCUUGAAAGUGAGGUAGGCUACAAGGUAAAACUGGAAUGAUAAAUCUACGACGAAGUAAAUCUUUAGCAGAACGAAAGUGUGUGGCGAGUUGAUAUUUAUUUGAACGACGAGAGUGAAUUAAAGUUAUGAGAGAAAUCAAAGACGCGUAUUCUGUUACAUAUGCAACUUUAUGAAAAAGAGAGUAGACUGCCCAAAUGAUAAAAAAGCCCACGCUUACUAGGCUUCUAUCUAGUUCUAGUUGGAUUCUGUUGCUUCAACGGUGUUCCAUUUGCUUCCGCUUCUUUUGGUAUAUGACAAAAUGUGCCUUGAUACGCGUAAUUUUGUGAAUCCUACGAUUGCGGGGAUAGUUGGAGAUACGUUUCUUUUUUAUCUUUGUACUAUUGAUCGCGAAAGUCAAAUUGCAGAUAGAAUUGAACUUGCAGAUAAAAAGGGUUUGGUUUGUACUGGUCGAUGGCUGAUCGGUUGGUACCGGUUGGUAAUGAUUGGAUGGUCGGCUGUGAACGACAAACGCGUGGAAACGUUUCAGACUAUGGCAUAUAUAAUAUACGAAGAAAAUUGUAAAACUGGCGCUGGGCUACCUUUGUUCAGAGAUACUCCUGAUGCUCUUCGGAGUCUCCGGUGGUCUUCGCUUCAGUGGUGGUGAAGCAGUUACAAAUCAUAUCGGCUAUCUGAAGACUCACAGGUGCUCGAGUCUCCUAUGUGGUAUAAUAUCAUGUUGCUGCAUUCAGUCCCUGGGACAGAACAAAACGGAUAACAUCGGAUGAAUCAGUGUUGUGCACGAAUUGCAUUGACUCGAGAUAACAAGACCACGACCCCGUUGCCGGCGAUGAAGCCGUGUUCAAGAGGAGAGAAGAGUUUCCAAGGGUCCUUGUUAAGACUUUCGAGAACAUGGAUUUCGUCCUCUCGAACAGGAAAAUACUUAACGAGCAGUAUGCCGCAAACAUUUCGUUUACGCUCCAUUCGACGAGAGCAAACGCUCUGUACUUCUUUAAUUUUAUUUAAAUAUCGUCGGGAGACCUCCGAGUUCUAUAAGUAUCAAAGCUGCCAGUAAUUAUGUACUUUGACGAUUCUCGAUGGAUUUGUAUUUAAAUUUC